GCUAAUGGCCAUGUCCAUAUUCAGCCACUUGGGACACCAAUGGGCAGCUUAAUGAUGAAGAAAAAUUCAGCUGGAUGAAUUUGGCUGUAGGGAGGUGAAUGGCUUUGUCUAAAUUCGGCCAAGGCUUGAAGCACAUCUCCAAUAGAUGCCUCUUGGUCGAAUGGUCACCUAGGAGAUUCAAAGGAUCAGCAAAAUUCAU
rnacentral:lncRNA from 1 species